rnacentral:rRNA from 1 species
CCUACGGGUGGCUGCAGUGGGGAAUAUUGGACAAUGGGGGGAACCCUGAUCCAGCCAUGCCGCGUGUGUGAAGAAGGCCCUCGGGUUGUAAAGCACUUUCAGUGAGGAAGAACGCCUGGUGGUUAAUACCCAUCAGGAAAGACAUCACUCACAGAAGAAGCACCGGCUAACUCCGUGCCAGCAGCCGCGGUAAUACGGAGGGUGCGAGCGUUAAUCGGAAUUACUGGGCGUAAAGCGCGCGUAGGUGGCUUGAUAAGCCGGUUGUGAAAGCCCCGGGCUCAACCUGGGAACGGCAUCCGGAACUGUCAAGCUAGAGUGCAGGAGAGGAAGGUAGAAUUCCCGGUGUAGCGGUGAAAUGCGUAGAGAUCGGGAGGAAUACCAGUGGUGAAGGCGGCCUUCUGGACUGACACUGACACUGAGGUGCGAAAGCGUGGGUAGCAAACAGGAUUAGAUACCCGGGUAGUC